ACGCGUGAGAAUCUGCCCUCAGGAGGGGGACAACAGUUGGAAACGACUGCUAAUACCCCAUAUGCCGCGAGGUGAAAUGAAUUUCGCCUGAGGAUGAGCUCGCGUCUGAUUAGCUAGUUGGUGUAGGUAAUGGCUCACCAAGGCAUCGAUCAGUAGCUGGUCUGAGAGGAUGAUCAGCCGCACUGGGACUGAGACACGGCCCAGACUCCUACGGGAGGCAGCAGUGGGGAAUUUUCCGCAAUGGGCGAAAGCCUGACGGAGCAACGCCGCGUGAGGGAUGAAGGCCUCUGGGCUGUAAAACUCUUUCGACAGGGAAGAUAAUGACGGUACCUGUAUAAGAAGCUCCGGCUAACUCCGUGCCAGCAGCCGCGGUAAUACGAAGGGGGCUAGCGUUGCUCGGAAUCACUGGGCGUAAAGGGUGCGUAGGCGGGUCUUUAAGUCAGGGGUGAAAUCCUGGAGCUCAACUCCAGAACCGCCUUUGAUACUGAAGAUCUUGAGUUC
rnacentral:rRNA from 1 species